GAAAUGCGAUAAGCGGUGCGAAUCGCAGGACACUGUGAGUCAUCGAAUCUUCGAACGCAAAUGGCGCCCCCAGGGCAACCUGGGGGCUUACCCGCUGAACUUAAGC
rnacentral:misc_RNA from 1 species